CAGUGCAGAAGUAGGGGAAGCAGGGACAUGCCAGCCCUGAGUGCAGCUGGAAACAGAGGCAGGAGAGGGUCUCCCUGAAGACAAAAUCAUACCUGAAGUCAUCCAACAUUCUUUUCUUAAAAAUGGAUUUCCUCUAGAGAUGUAUGGGUAUGCCCCCCUCCACACUGACACCUUCAAUGCUGGUAGAGAAAGAUUUUGACACUUUUGAUGACUACCGUUUGGCUCUUUUGUAGAAAGUCCAUUUAGG